CUGCGCAAAAACAGCAAACCACCGACGGGCAUCACGGCGUGCUACUCACUGCGCAACAAAACAGCAAGCCGACAGCGCGCGGAGCCGUCGAGGCUGCUGCACAUUUCGUCGAGCACCCUGCGCUCAUCGGAAAGUAGCAAGGGAAGGGGCUUUGCGCAGGGCUGCUGUUUUUGGAUCGGAGGGCUGGGCGCAGGGACUUGGUCGCCGUGGCUGCAGGAACAGCGGCGUUUCGCCGAGGAGCUGCGCAGCAAGGGAAAAGGAGAAGCUCGCUGCAAGGGGGCUGCUCGACCAUGGAGAUGUGGUCGGGGCGAGCAGCGCUGCGAGGGCAUUAGCUCCCUGUUCUAG
rnacentral:misc_RNA from 1 species